AAGGCAGCCCAGUUACUGAGACCACAGGAGUCUCACCAAGGUCUGUGGUGGAGGCCUGAGGCCAAGCUUCCCUCAGAACACUCCAGGACAGAAGUCCUACCUCCACAACCUCCCUACAGUGCUGGAGGCUUGACCUCCAGAGCAGGCAGUUACAAUCACCAUGUCUGUCCUGCCACAGAGGCCAGUGAGCACUCCACCAUCUGGUUCCACAGGUCUGUAAUGAAGGGGUUGAAGUCUGCUGUAAAACAAAAUGGAGACUGGCAGUGGUGUCCCUCUCCUUUAAUCCCAGCAUUGGGGGAGGUGGGAACAGAUUGUGUGAGUUCAAGGUCAGUCAGGGCUACACAAAGAAACCCUGUCUCAAACAAAAACAAAGAGGGAUCCAGAGGGGGCCGGAGAAGUGGCUUGGCAGUCAAGAACAGUAGCAACUCUGGCAAAGAUCUGGGCCCCAAAUUCAGCACCUGUGGCUCACAAAUAUCCAUUUAACUCUAGUUCCAGAGAUCUGACGCCCUCUUCUGGCCUCUGAGGGCACUGCAUGCAUGUAUAUGACAAAGUAACAAAUGCAGGCAAAAUUAUUCCAACAACAAAAAAAAAAA
rnacentral:lncRNA from 1 species